rnacentral:lncRNA from 1 species
GACAGGAAGGCUCCUGGCCAGCACAAGAUGACGGUGCAGUUUCCUGAUGCAGACUGAGUCAAGGUGUCUCCGGGGCUCAGCAGGAAAGGGUGAGGGGCUCUGGCACCAUGAGGAGCCCAAGGUGACCCAGAAGGCCACAGCUCCCAAACUGGAUCCUUGGAGGAUGGGGGCUGAAGUUCUGGCACAUUCUCAAGUGGCAGCAGCAACACUGUCAUGGUCCUGCCCUUGGAGUAAAUCGGAAGCACCAUCCUUUCUGAACCCUCUUGUCUUUUCCAGGGGUUCUUGUGGAAAAUACCAGGGUCUCUCCCUGGGCUGGUGUGGAUAUGUUCAGAAACAAGAGCUGAGCUGUCUUCAGAACAAGAGUGGUAGGUUGUCACGAGGGAAGCCUCCGAUCUUUAUCCUCUGAGGCCAAGGUCUUGGAGAGGGGACCCUGACCCUGGAAUGUGGAUGUUGCCCAAGUCCCCCACCCCUAUCCUUUCGCCUCCAACCCAGAGCCCCUAAACCAGCUGCCUGGGUGGAUAAACUGUGGCCACCCCUCCAGGCAGGGCGGGCCCUCACCACUCAGCCCCACCCAGGGGCCCGAGGUUCUGUUUAUGGCAGUUUUCUGAAACAGCUUGUUUUGAUCUACAGAGAUCUGCUGACGCACUGGCUACCCCUUCUCCCUCCUGCAUCAGGGUGGAGUUAUUUUUAGCUUCAUCGGUAGAGGAAUAAAGAAGAACACAGGCCCACCAUACUGUGGGCACAGCCCUGUGACCCCAAGGCAGGACAGGGCACCUCUGUGUGGUUUUGAAGCUUCCACUCACCUCUCCUCAGACACAUGCCUUUUCUGAGGAAAAUGAGCUGCGUAGAACUAGGAGGCCUGGACAGUUUCCAAACACCAACUCUGAAACUGUGUUACUUUGUCCUUGGAAGAGGGUGGCUAGGGCAGCUCCAGAGGAGAGGGCACAAAGGAGCCUGAUACUGCAUGGAGGGGCCUGGGCUUUAUAGAACCCUGUGCAUUGAGCAUUGCCAGUUACCCCUCCUCCUACUCUUUGGAAAAGUCUAAGAAAGCUUGUGUCUGGGAUUUGGGAACAAUGUGUGUGAACGAGGGCGAGUUUUGAGAAGAGAAAUAGAGAAAAACAAGACAUCAACUUGGGCCCUGGAAGCAGCCAACAGUAGUGACUAUGCAUCUCUCGGAUGCUAGCAGGUAAGAGCUGAUGCCACAGCCUGGUACUGGGAAGCACCAGGGUGAUGUCACUUGCUUGGUUUCACACACACCUCUCAGCUUUCUAGAACAUUCUGACAGGAACAGUCCCUUCUCCACUGUUCUUUCAGGCCAAGUCACCCACCCCUGGAAAGGAUGCCAGGCAAGAUUGAUGGGCAUAACCUGGAGAAGGGCAAGCAGAGCCUGGGGACUCUCCAUGGAUAAGCCACCAGCCAACAAGCCCGGGCUUGCCACAUACUCAGCCUUCUGUGUUGACAAUCACAUGAGAAUGAGUCACCAGUUUUCCCAGAAGCAGGAGAGGGGUGCGGCGGAGCCCCGCCCUGCCUGCAAAUGCCAUCUUGCAGAGGCAGGGGAAAAUUUCUAUCUGGAUUCCUCCCUUGUCGUCAAGGGAGCCUGUUGUCACAGGGUGGUUUGUUUGGGGUGUGGGCGGUUGGCCUGGCAGGAGACUUCUUUCUACCACCUACUUCUUUCUACCACCUACCCCAGGGGCGGGCCUUGAACCAAUAGGUGCCCCAUGGGGGUCUUCUCGGCCUCCUCCUCACCCUGGCCCCAUAUGGUAAUGGAAGGCCGAUUAUUCUUUUCAAAACCCUCACAAAAUCCUUAGCCCUGCCAGCCUUUUGACCGGGUUGCUUUUGGCAGGCUGGCAUCCAUGCCUUGUAGGCAGCCAGCCCGAUACCUCCAGCAGCCACUAGACCCACUCCUUGGGGCCCAUCACAAGCCACAAGCUGUCCCGGACCAGUGCUGAGGUUUUUGGUUUGUUUGUUUGAAUCACUUUUCUCCCCCCACUCCUCACUCCAAAAGCAAAGUGAGUUUUAAACCUACACCCAUCUGGUCUGGGCCCUACAAUUGCCCUUAUUGUUUUCCGCAUAAACUUUCGCCAUUAAUACGUCACUCACUUAUCUCGCUAAAUAUUCUAUCCAGCGGCCUAAUUAACUGCUGUUAGGGAAUGUUUCAACUCCCCGGGUCCCUGCUGACCCGCAGGGACAGGACCAGGGACACGGCUGCACCCACCCGCCCCCUGCCAUUUAAGCAACAAAGCAGGGCGUCUCGGCCACGCGCGCUGUGGGUACAGUCUGCUGUGCAGGUCACCGCGUUUCCCUCGAGAGGGUCGCGUCCUCCGGGGCGUCCCCGCCCCCACCGCGAGCGCCGGGGCGCUGACGUCACCGGCCGAGCACGCGGCGGCGCCACCCGGGAGUCACGCGCUGCCGCCCAGAUAGUGCUGCGCCGCCGCAGAGAUCCCUCCGCCGCCCCUGGAAUUUUCCAGACGCUCUGCCGGCCCUUCUUUCGGGCCUCUGCUGGGCGGGGUGACCCGAGGCGACCCCAACUCCCUCGGUCGGCUCCGAAGCGCUGCCCCUGCACCCCCCCCCGCCCCCGCCCCACCUGAGGAAGGGACUUCUCCUCGCGGCCACUGCCUCCCAAAUGUGACGUUGGGAUCUGUCCCCAGGAAGGCCUGUUAGUAGAGAAGGAGGGAUAAUUAGGGAGUGGCCACCAAAGGGAGACCGUGAACCGCCCCUGGUUGGCUUCUUGGGCGGGGUGGGGAGGGACUUUUUUUCCGGUGUCAGUGGAGGAAUCGUCCCGUUGAGUAGUGUCUUGUGACGCGACCCGGGACUAUAAAAGCAAAAGUUGUGGCCCGUCCAGCAGGAGUUAGCGACAGGCAGGGCUGGCGCCUGGGUGUAGUGGUGGGGCGGAAGUGACCAGUUCAGGGUCUCAGGGGACACAGGCAGGAGAUGGCAGAGCUAGAGGGGGUGGGGGUGCGUGGGGAAGGAAGGGCUGAAAAGGAGCUUAGAUGUGGGGGGCUCUGCAGCGCGAAGGCCCACAGCACCCCGCGAGGCCGCAGCAGCUCUCGGGCCUCACUGUCCCUUCUGCUACUGCUGCUGGAGCGGGGAUUUGACUUCCAGGAGGCCGAGGUCCUUCCAUGGGCCUAGCUGGCCCUGGUGGCCUGGUUAACGUGGAGGAGGAAGGCAGGCUGAGGCGGGAAGAGGUGGAGACUGGCCUAGGCAGUGGUCGUUGGCAGGCAGGGUCGCAGGCCCGCAGCUGGGCGGGGAGGGCCGACUUGAAACUUGUCAAUACCAGCAGCCCCCUUUUUUUCCAGACAAAGGGUUGUGAACCUGCCUGGGGAUGAAGCCUGGUCUUAAGGAAACUGGACUUGGCUUCGCGGGCCGGGCCUGACAGCUCUGGCCCAGGGUGGUAUGUAAACAGGGCUCACCCCGGAGCCCAGGAGGUGAAGGGUGGCCUGAGGAGUGAUCACGAUCCAGUGUGCCAUUGCCACCUGUUAACUGGGGGCUGCUGAGGCAGGCUGCUUGUGUCUGGGGAAAAUAUUGACCAACCCUUUAUUUUCCAGGUGGCAGUACCCUCCCCUCUGGACUUCCCUAGGUUCGAUGCUAAACUCUUCUGUGAGCUCACUCUACCCCUCCUCCUCCCUCUAACUCUCUUGAGGUUAUCCCUUCACUUAAAACCUUGCCUCUGGUCAUCUGGUAAGCCUGGUGAAGUCGCAGGAGUGUUCUUGGACUCGGUAUUGUUGGUAAUGGUGCAGAAGGAAAGGCCUUCCCGGUGGAGCCUCUGGGGGGUGGGUUGGUGUUGCUUUUGGAGAGGGUGGGGAUUGAAUGUGCUCCCCUGGGUGGGGCUGCAGCAGUGGUUCCAGCAGAAGUCACCCAAUGCCUCAUGGACCUGGUUUGUUACUGUAGUGUUCAUCAUGGCGAGCAGAUGGCACCAGGACAAAUGGAGCCCCAGCCAGUGUGAGUCGUAGCAGUGCAGGAGGGGAGACCCUGAAGGAGACAGCCCGCUUAAGUUGAUGCCUGCAGAUUGAAUUCCAGAGGCUUAGGAGGAGGAGCAGUUCUCCAGUGUCUUGUGUCCAGGCCUUGCUCAGGAUCCCUGUAUUCAGGAGGCCAACCGUUAAGGUUUUCAGAUGAGCUUGUGGGGGGCAGUUCACAAGUCCAAAGCAGAUGCAUCGGCUUGAGGGGCCAUCACCUUUGAAUGUUUCAGCAGCACCAUCCUCCAGGCACAGGAAUGCCAGCAGGCACCCCUCUUGUCCUGGGGGUGGUUUUCAGAUGCUGCAUCUUCUAAAUUGAGCCUCUGGUCCUUCUAGUUCUGUGCUGUGAACUUUGCUUCCAGAAGAUUCUUAAGUUAUAGAACAUUUUAAAGUUGAUCCAACAACCAGCCUGAUGCCUUUUAGAUGGCACUUGGAGAUGGAGCCCAGGGACCUCUCACCUACCCACCUGCUUACCUGCCUUCCUGUCUGCACAUUGGCCGGAGGAAUUCUUAGUGUGAUGAUAAAGCUUUUGAUUGUUGGGGGGCGGGGCAGGGAGCUGUUCAAUUUUAAAUGCUUUAGGCAGAGGGAAUUUGUUAGCUAGGUAGAUUGUCAAUCUGUGGGGGCUCAUGUGUUGAGCUAAAGUGGGAGGGGACAAGCCGGUCAUGCCCAGGAGCUGUGUGUUGGUAGGGGGUCUUGUCUGGGCAUUCUAAUGGCAUAGAACCUUACAAGAAGGGAAUGGUGGGCCCACCAGUAGUGGGUGGGUCAUGGGUGUUUUGUUUUCUGGUGCUGCAGAUUGAACAGGGCCUUGGGCAUUUUAGGCAAAUGCUCAGCCAUUGAGCUACAAUCCCAGCCCAGUUAUUUGCCAGUUAUUUGAUUCUCCCCCACACUUUUUUUUAUACAUCUCAGAGUAUUCUUGUCAUUCCCUCUGGGGGAGGGACGGGGGGGGGGGCAAGGGCUGGUGGGGAUGCAGUGCUGGGAGCAUGAGGGUGUGGGAUGUGGGUUGAGAGAAAGUAUGGGCAGAGAUCUGAGGAAUUUCAUAGAAUUUGUGAGUGAAGAAAACACUAGUUAAUGGUAAAUUAUUGGUUAAAUGGUUGCAUAUAAGCAGUGAAAGUUGCUUGGAAAUUUUUAUAAAAGUGCUUAGAACUUCAAGGAAAGUUCAAGAAAAAAAGCAAAAUUGUUUUGCUUUGCUCUAAAGUGGGGAAGACUGAGAAGGUAUAACUGAAAACAAGAAUAUUUAGUUACUUGAAAAAUGACAUGGAACUUGGUGUCAAAACUGAGUUUUAAACUCAAGUAUGCACUUACGAUGAGAUUAAUAUGGACUUUUCUGGGUUUGUAAUUCAUAUUUUGUCAUGGAGAUCUCAGUGAUUCAAAAUUCUGAACAAAAUGGAAAUGCUUUUGGAGAGGGUGGGGAUUGAAUGUGCUCCCCUGGGUGGGGCUGCAGCAGUGGUUCCAGAAGAAGUCACCCAAUGCCUCAUUGAUGUGAAUUGUUACUGUAGUGAGACAAAUGGAAAUGCUUUUGGAGAGGGUGGAGAUUAAAUGAUUUUUAAAGGAAUUUCAUAAGAAGUGCCUUAUAGAUUUUUCUGUGUUUGGUCAAAACCAUAAUAGCAAAAGUUUUGCUUACUUAACUAUAGUCUUGAAAUCAGUCAUUGUAACAAGGAAAACCUUUUGUGGUCACAGUGAAAUUACUAUGUUUGUUAGCAAUCAGAAUUAUUAAUGAAUAAUCUAUUGUAUUUUUAGUUUAAAUGAUCCAGGACUGGGGGGGGGGAAUGUCAGUCAAAACCAGUUUAGGAAAUAAAAGCAAACUGGGCAGAAGGGGCCAGCUUAAGAGGCAGGCUGUAAGAGCUCCUGUGAAACUCGAUUUGCUUCUGAGCUGAUUUUGUUGAAAUGAUAGAGUAACUCCAGUGGGCUUCAUCCUGUUUUUCCUCCAAAUUUGAACACUUUAAAUACCCAAUACCUUUUAUCCUUAGGACUUUUCCUGUGUUCUGGGUUCCUUUUUUUUUAUGCUUAAAAAUGCAUUGGUAUGGUACUUCAGUUCUUAGCUGGUGACUUGGGUGUGAUACAAUUACUGUCAUUGGAACUUAAAGUAUAUUAGUCAUGCUUGUGUGGGGAAAUAUUUCUGGGUAUGCUGUUGUGUAAUGAAAGCUGUAAAAACAGGUGGUUAAAGUACUUGUUUGUAAGGCACGCACUGUUCUGUUCUGUUCUGUGUGUGGUUUCUAACCAUUUUUCUUCCCCUUUACAGCACAAAUAAAGGUUUGAGUUCCAAACUCCUUAGAAUGGUCUUAUUGCUGUUAUGUUGCCCGACUGUCCUGUCACCUCUGAAGGUGGAUGUGUCCCUGUCCUCAGAUUGUAGACUGAGGCCUAGAUUCAUGUUCACUAGUUAGCUCCAAAUGUAAUCUUCACUGAAAGGGAACUGGUACGUCCUGAGUACAAACUGGUGCCUCAGGAGGAGGGUUGUGCACUGUUGAGAGCUAGUAAUGUUUGUGCAAAUGUAAUCCUGAACCACAUGAAGAUGAGUGUCUAGGUGGGAGAGUACGUACUUUAUAAUCUAGAACAUUCUCUGGUCAUAUUUUCAAAUGGCAUCUAUUUUGUUGGGGGAAAACAUUCUAAAUAAGAAUAAAAUUGACAUGUAAUAUGUUUAUUUAGUUUGCAUUCUUUGGGAGGCUGGCAUGUAUCUGUUUAAGCACAUAAUUCUCAUGUUCUCUUUUGGUACAUGACUAAAAAGUUUGGGCUUAUGUAAGUGCUCUAUUGAGCCAGCAAGGUUUUCUGAUGGGUGGGGAGGAAUCUUGAGUGUGUGUCAUGUAAACUGAUCUGCAUCCUGGGUGGGGAAGUGGCAGCAGUGACUCAUCCUGACACUUGUAUUUUUAUGUGCUCUCCUGUGUACCAGCUUAGAAGAGUUGGAAUAGAACACCACUGGCCUUCCCUGAGGGAAGUGUCCAAGGGAGGGAGAGGAAAGCUGGGCGUGCUUGCUAGGGAGGGAGAGGACCGAUGGACUGGGACCAGAGCACAGGGAGUUGAGCUACAGGUCAGCCACUGUCUACCUAGUUCUGAGGGUCUCUUGGUGACCCCUCCCUUGAGCACUACUGAGAACCCCCAGAAGAGAAAGGUCAUGUGCCACUAGAAGGCCCUCCGUCUGGUCUCUUGGCACUGCCAGUGGGGGCCACUGCUGUGAGCAAUAGUGGUGUCUACAAAUAGCAAAGUUGAACUUGAAGUUCUUUUAUAAAUGAAAGUAGCCUGAGGGCAGGUAUGGACUGAGAGUCCUGGGCGCCCAGGCUGGAGCCCCCGAGAAGUGGCCUGUUACAAAAAGGGGUGAGACAGUCACUGCCCCCAACACCACCCUGUUGGCCACCCUCUGUUGGUCUUACUGAUCCUGAGAGACUGCAAGGACCUCUAAUGCCAGGUGAGGAGGAAGGCUAGCCUCUGGCCCAUUGGUGCCCAAUGUGGUGUUGGGUUGUGUCGAAGGAGGAGACGCUAAAACAGGUGCACAGACAUUUGUGGAGUGUUUGUUUUGUUUUGUUUUUGAGAGGCUAUGUUUUUUUAUUUGUUCUUUUUAGGUAUACAUGAUAGUAGAAUGUAUUUUGACAUCAUACAUGGAGUAUAACUCCCUGUUGUGGUUGUACAUGAUGUGAAGUUUCACUGGUUGUGCAUUCAUAGAUAAACAUAGGAAAGUUAUAUCCCAUUGAUUCUACUGUCUUAUUGUGGAGUGUUUUAAAUACAGUACAUACACGGGUGCAGAAUGGCAAGGGGAAGCAAAGGGUGUCCUCGCCCUGCCUGCUGGGGCCUCUGACCUUGACCUGCACCUUCCCCGUUCCUGACUGCUCACUGUUCUCACAUCUAAAGGGUUUACCAUAAAGUUUGCAAAAAACAAAUUGAAAAUCUUCAGUAAUCUUCAGUUAACAAGUGUUACUGGUGUAUUUGCAUCUGGGUUUUUGUUUAUCUUUUUAUUUUGUCCUUAUGCAUCAGAUAUCUGUGUUUUAUUCAAAAAUGAGAUUAUAUUUAAAUUCUGUUUGACUCUUUCCUUUAUAUGUAGUGGACAUCGAGUCAUUUGAAGCAUCGUUUUCAUUGUUGACAAUGUUCUGGUUCUUGCAAGGCUGUAUUAACUUAAACAAUCUCAUUUAGAUGAGCAGGUUAUGUCCCAGGGUUUUGUUUUAUUCCACUCAGGAAAUAAAAGUUUUGAUGAUGUUCCAUGUAAAUAAAACUUUAUCACAUCUGUUGUUACUUAUCCAAGAUGAAUAUAUAUCUAGAAGGGAAUGACUGUUACUAUACUUCUUAAAACUUUAGGUUCAUGUUGCUGAGUUGCCCUCCAGGGAGGCAUUUUCUAAAUCAGUGUUCUCACAGCAGGAAACCAACUCCUCCACAGAGUGCAUUUAUGGUACUAAAAACCUUUGCUGCUUGGGUGGAUCCAGAUUAUGUUACCUUUGGACAUAAGUGUUGUUCUGCCUGUUAGUGAAAUUGAACCUUUCUCACAUGUUGACUGGCCUUUGGCAGUGUGUGAGUGACCACUUGAAGAGUGACCAUUCUUCAAGCACUUGUUUUCCUGUUAGUUGUUUUGUAAAUACUGUUUAUAUAUUAAGGACACCAAUGAUCUUUUGUUUGGUACCAAAAAAAAUUCUGGUUUCUAGAUUGACUUUUAUUUCAGAUAUAAAAAAAUUUUCUGAGGUUAAUCAAAUCACUGUGAUUUCUGCACUUGUUAUGCUUUGAUCUGUUCUACCGUGAGUAUAUAAAUAUUAAUCUAAUUUUCCUGUGACAAUUGAGUGGUUUCAUUUUUACAUUUAAACCUCUAAGUAGAGUUUUUGUGGAAUCUUUUAUGUGGUGGCUGGCCCUCAGAGCUUCCUUCUCUCUGGGAUCAGAGGGAUAAUGGAGUAGCAGAGAGCCCUGUCAGCUUGUCAAAGAAUUCCAUGACCUCAGCAUCAUAAAAGAGCAAUUGAAUUCUUUUAUCCUGUUGUUCUUAUCCUGUAUGAUAUUUACCAGUCUCCCAGGCUGGUAAACAGUGUUUUGACUGAUUUAAACUGUGCUGCCAUUGGCAUUUCCACAAAUUUGUUGUAUAUGUGUCAUCUUCUCCAGAGUGGUGCAGCCUGGUCCUUGGUGAUGUGGCUUUACAACACUCUUCACCCUUUCUCUUGUGAGCAUGUCUGUUUCCUUACAUAGUUGCCAACAUCAGGUUUUUUGAAUUUUAUGUAUUGAUUGCUACCUUAAAAAAUUUUUGUUGUAAAAUGCACAUAACAUAAAAUACAUUGCCUUAACGAUUUUUAAGUAUACAGUUGAUAGUAUUAAGUGUAAUAGUGUUGGGCAAUUACAGUGUCCAGAACUUUCUCAUCCUGCAAAAAACGGAAAUUCUAUACUCAGAAAGCAACAUGAAACUCGCCACUCCCUCUUCCCCACAGUGCUGGCAACAGCCAUUCUUUCUGAACUUGACCACUUAGAUUCCUCCUGCAGGAACUCGGUAUUUGUCUUUUGUGAUUGGUUUAUCUCACUUGGCACAGUGGGCUCAGGAUUCGUCCAGGUUGCAACGUGUGUGAGAACGUCCUAUUUAAGAAGCUGGGUGAUGUCUGUGUGCGCAUCUCCUGUUCUGUUUGUUCACUUGACUGGCUGUGUCUUUCUUUGGCUGUUGUGAAUAAGGCUGCUGUGGACGUGGGGUGCAAUUUUUUCUUCAAGAUCCUGCUUUCAGUUAUUUCAGUAAAUGCAUGUGAGGUCAUACUUUAUUGUGCUUUUGAUUUGCAUUUCCCUAAUGGUUAGUGAUGUGAGCUUCAUUUCAUUUGCUAAUUGGCCAUUUGUUUAUCUUAUUUGAAGAAAUGUCUAUUCAAGUCCUGUCCAUUUUAAAAAUUUGAGAUAUUAUAAUUGAUGACUUGCCAGAGUUCUCUGUGUAUUCCAGGUAUUAACCCCUUAUCAGCUGUGUGAUCUGCAAAUAUUUUCUUUUCAUUCCAUAGUAUUGCCUUUAGUUUGUUUGGUGGUGCUGGGGAGGAAACCCAGGACCUCCUCAUCUAAGCACGGGGCUCUGCUGCUGAGCCACACCCCAGCACAGAACUUUUUAGUUUUGAAGUGAUCAGAAUUUACCUUACUUGAGUUUUACUUUUGUGGCCUGUACUUUUGGUGUCACAUCCAAGAAAUCAUUGCGAAAUUCAACAUUACAACGUAUUUGAUGCUACUUUAAAAAGUAUUUUAAUUGUCUUCAUCUGUAUUUCUGUAAUUCCUGGCUGGUCUGAGUAUUUUACCACUUGAUACACUGUCUCCAUUUUUUGACUACUUACCGUGAGAUUUUCAUAAGGAUGGUGAAUUCUUAACAGUUGGCAAGAUAAGCAAUUGCCAGUCAUGAUUGUCAGACUUACUCUCCAUUUUUCCUUGUUGUUGAUGCAUAAGUAUAUAUACUUUUUAAAAAUGUUUCUUUAGCUGCAGACGGGCACAAUACCUUUAUUUUAUUUUUGUGUGGUGCUGAGGAUCCAACCCAGUGCCUCGCAUGUGCCAGGCAGGCGCUCUACCACUGAGUACAACCCCAGCCCUAAAAGUAUGUAUUAUACAAAAACCUGAGAACAGUCUGAUAAGUGUAGUAGUAACCAAGUCCAGAUUUGCUUCUCAUUACUUCCGUUUCAGUAGCUGAGCAUGCACACAGCGCCCUUGAGCCCUCUGCUCCAGUUAUUUAUGAUGCUAAAAUCCACAGCGAGCUUGUACUGAGUAGCUCCAGCUCUCUGCCCUUCUGCUCCGGGUUGACCAGCAUGAGCCUCUUAUGGCUGAGUCUGAAUCAUAUUUGGAAAUUUCAGGUUCUAUUUUUUGUUGUUAUGUCCAAUAAAAUAGGACAAAUCCCAGCGACUAUUACUGUUGGUUAUGUUUUAAACUCUAGUAAGCAUCCCUCCUUAAGACAGGGAUGUUCUCUCCCUUGUUGGAACUGAGAACACACAACUGGGUUAUUUGGAGUCUCUGGUUCAUGACAUGAUAUGGCUCUCUUAUUUGCUUCCUUGAUUAUUUCUAAUAAUGUAAUAUUUCUGAACCUUCUGCCAACAUAAGAGCUAGGAUGGUAGAGAAAGCAGCUUCCUUCUGCCCUCGUGGUGUCCUCCUCACAGCCCCAGCCUGAGCAAUCAGCAUCCUGAACCCUGAGUUUAUCUUCCACUUGCUUGUUCCACUUGGUGUGAUGUCGUUUCAUGUGGUUUCCUUGAUGGACAGAGCCCAUCUUGUGACUCUACAGUUAGUUCCUCUGUUCUCCUAUUGAUGGUGACAGUUACUCCUUUUCUGUUAAGUGUCAUUAGAGGAAUGAUACGCGAUGCCUUCUUGUUUUACAGAAUUAAAACAUGAGGGGCUGGGGAUGUGGCUCAAGCGGUAGCGCGCUCGCCUGGCAUGCGUGCGGCCCAGGUUCGAUCCUCAGCACCACAUACAAACAAAGAUGUUGUGUCCGCCGAGAACUAAAAAAUAAAUAUUAAAAUUCUCUCUCUCUCUCUCUCUCUCUCUCUCUCUCUCUCUCUCUCUCUCUCUUUAAAAAAAAAAGAAUUAAAACAUGACAUGAUUCAUGAGGUUGGCACUCCCAGUGCCCCGCCCCCUCCAGCAGUUACCCCUUUGCUGGGUUUCCAGACCUUUCUGUUCCUUUACAAAGUGUUGGGCUGAUCCUGCAUACUGCAUAUCACUGUUGACCUGCUUUUUUUCACUUAACAGUAGAGUCAUACGAGCACAAAAAGAACUGUCCUCAUUCUUUUGAGCGAUGGCAUAACAUUCCUUGUCCUGGUCAUACUAUGAGUUAUUUAGAUGUUUGGCCAUCUUUUGGUAUUGGAAGCAGUGCUGCGUGCUCACCUUCACAACCCCUUUGCAUCAUGCCUGAGUAUUUCUCAGGGCAGGUAUAAGACAUGGAAUUUCUGGGUCACUGGCUGGGUCUGUCCCUCUCCAGAACAGAUAUACAAAUUUGCAUACCUGAAUACGAGAGUAUCUGUUUUUCAUAUCCUCUUUGGCACUCAGCAUACAAAACCUUUUUAUUUUUUUAAGACCCUGCCAGUUGCCCUCUUUAAUCUGUCAUGGAUGUACGGUGACCUUUGGAAUCUAAUUGGUUCACUCACACUUUCUCCACUUUCCCGCAGAUGCCCGGAGGGUUAUUUCUAGGGCCUUCUGGCCAUUGCAAGCAGUGCUCCGUGAUCCACUCUGAAUUCCUUGGGGUGCACCGGCUUGGGCAUCCCCAGGACAGUGCGUGCAGGAGGCCAUGGGGUCUGGGCCAGGCAGCCCCAGCAUUCACACCCACUCCAGCUCCUUCUGGGUCUGGGACCCUCAGUUUUGCGAGAUGGGUCGGAACUUGAAGACCAAGUCCAGAGUCUGCUGCCUGGAGCUCUUGCCUCAAAGAAGGUUAAAAACAAAAACCAGAUGUUCCAGGAAAGCGGCUGUGACCUUUCCAAAAAGCAGGAUCAAAUUGUGUCAUUUAUCUUUUCCGGGGCACUCCUGCCUCUGCUCAGCAACUGCAGCGGCUUUCUGAGUUAAGGACACUCUCUCCUCUGAGAGGGCACAGGCGCUCUGGCUCUCCUCGCCUCACAGGUCACAGGGAGCUGGACUCCAGACAGCAGGGCACUCUCGGGCAGCCUGGGCCUGGUGGCCUUACCGUCUCCAGAAGUAGAUGCUGGGGUUUCUCAGGCUCCUCAGCCUCUAGCAGCUGCUCUUCUGUGAUGUGACAACUGUGUGUCAAAACAAGGCCUUCCUCCCUCUGCUCCUGUGUUGACCCCACAGGCAAACACUCGGCUGGUUUCCUCCAGUUUAUUUCACUUCUAUGUGUAGAAAAUGUUCAAAGUAAUCCUUGCUCAUGUUAAAACUUCAAGCCCUAUAGGUGACAGGGAUGUCCUUUUCUAAUGUCUGGCCGCCUUCCCCGCAGAGGCAACUGUUGUGACCUAUCGCUGAAGCUUCCAGAGAAUUCUGUGUUCACAUAAAGCUGUGGAGGGACAGGCAUAGCACACAAACUGACUUGGAAUCGGGUGUCUACCAGGUCUCUCUUGGUCCUUCAACACCCGUGUGAACCGUGGCCACCCCUUCUAGGGAGCAACUAGGUUGUUGCCAGCAUUUUGAGUGUUUCUCAGGCUUUACAAAAUCUGCCUGCCUGACUGCGCCUUCAUGUACAUGGGCAAGUAUAUCAGUGGGGCAAAGUUUUCUCUAGGAGGAAUUCUGGGGCCUGGUCCGUGUGCCUUUCCAGAUAUGAUGAAUGCUGCUAGGGAGGUGGUUCCAGCUGAUACUUCCCCACCCUUUACCAACUCUGUGCUCUCAAAUUUGGUUUGUGGUGCUAAAAAUUGGUAUUUAAUUGUAAUUCCUAUUUGUGUUUCUACUGGAUUAUAUACUUAUUGGUUUAUAAGAGCUCUAUAUAUAUUAAGGAAAUUAAACCCUUUAUCAUUUGUGCUGCAAAUACUUUCCCAUUCUCACUGAUAUUUGAGUUUUAUGGUAUUUUGCUGUCCAAAGUUGUAACUAUAUAUACGUUCAUUUAUAGACAUCUAAUGGCUUCUGCACAAGAUUUUUCUUUUAUUUUUAUUGGACCUAUCUGGACUUAAUUUUGGCAAUAAGUGACUCCAAGUGCUUAGCCUUUAGUCUCCAUAUCAUUUAGUGAUUGACACAGCUGAUGGCCAUUGAUGUAUUCAUGUGCAGUUCCACAUAAGUUUAAAUAUUGUACUCUGUGCUUUAAUAUAUGGUGGGGGUGGCCCUGUCUCAUAACUCCACUUUCCCGAAUAUUCCCAGCUAGACUUGCAUGAUUACUUGACCCUUCCCUAUGAUGUCUUCAUGAUAUUCCUUCUGUACAAGAAUAAGGUAUAUGUCUUUCCCUGUACUCACAGUGCUUUAGUCUGCCUUCAUAUCAUGUGGAAAGCUGUGGUGAGUGAUAUUGGCCUUGGUCUGUCUGCCUCCGGGACCCUUUACUGAUAAUUCACACAGACGACUUAUGUGUUUAUUUUGGGUAAUGGUUACUAGUGCUGUUAACACUUGUCAAUAUCUUGAGUGGUCUUUGCAGUUGAAAUGUUCCUAUUCACGCUGUCCUGCUAAAAAUGCCUGUACGUUUAUGCAAAGCCAGAAAUUGUACCCAAGGUCACAUUCAGGGAGGGUUUGCCUUCUGAACCUCUGCCCCAUGUGGCUGGCAUGGCCAGCACCUCUCCUCCUUUCAAGGUCGAGCCUGUUCUAUUUCUGAUAGGAUUUCUUCUGACUUAGUGAUGAAAGAGGGAAGAUGGCCUCUUGCUUAGCAGCGCAGUCCCUGGUCCAGAUGGUCUGAACAGUUGGGAGGCCCAACAGAGGGGUUCAGCCAUAUCCCCCUGCCUACCCUGUCCUUGUGUUUAUCUUCUCUGGUUUUAAGGCAGAAAUAACAUUAGCAUUCUGUCUUUCUGUUUUGUUGUGGUGCUGGGGGUGGAACCCAGGCCUUCUGCGCAUGUCUGUGUUGUAAUUUGCACUUUUUUGAUUCUGAGAAGCGCUGAGUACCUGGGUGUGUGGGCCUGUGCUUUCACUGCUGGGCGAGAACUGUGUUGGGGACCGUUAGCCUUGUAUACUACAAAAUGUUUCUCGAGUUUGUGGUUUGCCUUUUAAUUUUGUGUGUGGAUCUGGCUAAUUUGUUAAAUUUUGUAAUCACAUUCUUCAAUUUUCAUAAGAAUGGUCUCCUACGUUGUGUUCUGCCAUAUUUCUUCUGGUUCCCUUGGACACUAACCUAAUCCAUCUGGAAGUUGCUUGGAGUACAGGAUGGGGUAGGAACCUACUUUGGUUGUUUCAAAAUGACUGAUUUCCCCAGCACCGUUUACUGAUAAUUCUACUUUGUCUGCUGAUUUGAAAUGCCGCUUGGUAAUCAUUAGCAAAUUAAUACAAUUAAGUCUGUUUCUGGACUUUCAAGUCUGUUCCACUACAGCUGCCUUUCCCUGUAGCAGACCAGUGUUUCACUAAUUUUCUUAACUUGAUUCUGUUUUAAUACAGAGUUAUCCAGGUUCCUGUCAUUCUCUUGAGACAUUUGGAUUUUUUUUUGGAAUUUCUUUACCUAUAUAAACAUUUGGGGGUAGGUACUGGGGUUUGAACUCAGGGGCACUCGACCACUGAGCCACAUCCCCAGCCCUAUUUUGUAUUUUAUUUAGAGAUAGGAUCUCAUUGAGUUGCUUAGCCCCUCACUUUUGCUGAGGCUGACUUUGAACUCAUGAUCCUCCUUUCUCAGCCUCCCAAGCCACUGGGAUUAUAGGUAGGUACUGGAGAUUGAAUUCAGAGGUAUUCGACCCUAUGGCAUUGUGCCCGGCGGCUAUAAAUGUGUUUUUUAAAUAUAUUUUUGUUAGUUAUUGAUGGACUUUUAUUUAUUUGCUUAUAUGUGGUGCUAAGAAUCGAACCCAGUGCCUUACACAUGCUAGGCAAGCGCUCUACCACUGAGCCACAACCUCAACCCCCUAUAAACAUAUUUUGAUAUUAAGAUUUUCCAUUUAAGAAUGAAGAAGUUGCCUGUUCAUUCAGAAUAGGAUGAUUUUUUUAAUGUUCCUUUGGAGUCUUAGAUUAUUAUUUGGGUUAUGCAGGUUUAUGAAGUUUGUUCCUUGAAACUGAAUGUUUUGUAUUGUGGUUGCAUGUGUUAAAGUUUCUGGGGUGGGGACAUAGCUCAGUAGUAGAGCACAAACAGCAUUUUAGCUAAAACUGAAAGGCUCUCAAGUCAGCUGGCUCCCACCGUGAGACCACCCCUUCCCCACUUACCACCUGAACAUCGCCUGGCCUCAGUUUCCCCAUAUGUAAGAAGGGGUGAUCAUGACCUACCUCAGAGUGGGAUAAUGCAGGCAUUGUACUUGGCCUCUUGACAUGGACUUAGCACUGUUCUCUGGGGAUUGUGUCACCCACGAGAACUGUUCCAUUUUUCUUGCGUCUCUUCUUGUCUUGUUGGAAUUGGCCGUAAUUACUAAUGAGCCGUGAACAUCAUGGUCUCAUUCCCACUUGACCCACGAGGGGGAUCUGUCAGCAGAUGGAGGACGAGGGUCCUGCUGGAGCCCGGGGGGCUGCAUAUGAGCCCCCUUGGCCUGUUUAGUGUUGCUCAGAGGGUGAUUGUCUUGUUGGUCCACAAAUGAGUUGCCAUCUGCUGAUAGUUCACAUGUUAAUAUUUAUAUGUUUAUGUUAAUAUAGCUUUUUGUUUAUGAUGUUAAUAUAUAUAAAGUUUCCUUUUCAAAUAAAUUUUAUUUUCCCUUCUAAAAAUCAGGGUAUAAUCUACAUUACCAUAGAGCUCAUGCCCCUCAAGUGCCCCGUUGGUGGGUCUUGGUCUGCUCACUCCCUACGUUGUGCAGCCAUAGACCUCAUUAGCCCAGGCGGAAGCUCCACACCCUCCUGCCCCAGGCCCUGGUCGUCUUUGUGCUACCUUGUCUCUGUGAAUUUGCCUGUUCUAGGAACCUCAUGUAAGUGGAAUCAUGCAUUGUUUAUCUUUCUGUGUCUGAUUAUUUCACGUAGCAUGAUAUUUUCAAGGUUGGUCACGCCUGUAGCAUGUAACAGGACUUCUUUCCUCUUCAUAGCUGAAGGAUACUCCAUUAUUGAUAACUGCAUUGUGUUUUUCCAUUGGACUUUGGACGUUUCUUCUUUUGACCAUUAUGAACAGUGCUAGUGCGAAUGUUUGUGUAAAGUUUCUAUGUGAACAUGUGAUUUCAACUCUCCUUUGUGCACAGGUAGGAGUGGGAAUGCUGGGUCACAGAGUAACCCUGUGUUUAAUUUUGAGGCACUGCCAAGCUGCUUUCCAGGGUCACUGCGCUGCUUUGCGUUGGCGGCAGUCGUGUGAGAGUUCCACUUCCCACAUUCCCAUCAACACGGGUUAUUGACUCUUUAAAUAUAACCGUCGUAAUGGGCAUGAAAUGGUAUUAUGUAAUUUUGAUUUGCAUUUUUCUAAUAAUAGACAAUAUCAAGCGCCUUUCAUGUGCUGUUAGCAUGUGCAUAUGUUCUCUGGAGAAGUGUCUGUGCUGAGCUUUGGCCCACCUUCUAAUUAGGUGUUUGUCAUUUUGUCAUUGGAUUAUAAGAGCUCUUUAUAAACUCUGGAUUCUAGACUCUCAUCAGAUACAUGACUUGCAAAUACUUUGUCCCAUUCUGUGGGGAUCCUUAAACAGGAUGGAAGAGAAGUACUGCUCAAGUGUGUCCUUCAUCUCUGAUGUCACCGAUGUCACCUGCACUCUUGCUGGAUUAUGGGACAAGGUAUCCAUUUGUUUUCUAGAUUGCUCUGGAGUUUUUUAUUUGUUUUUAAAUCAUAAGAAAUAUUGAAUUUAUUCAAAAGCCUUCCCUGAAUCUUUUGAGAUAAAGGGUUUUUCUUUCAUCCUCCAAUGAUUUUAAUUUAACUAAUGAACUAUUAAUGAUUUCAUUAAUACUAAUGGAAUAAUAAGCCUUCCUAUGAUUUUUUAUCCAAGCCACUCCUGGACAUGGAGGUUUAUAAUGAAUUACAAGGUCCCCGUUUUAAGGGAUGAAGUCUUGCUAACUUUGCCCAAGCUGUCCCCUGACUCCUGGGCUGAAGCCUUCUUCCUGCCUCAGCCUCCUGAGUAGCUGGGCCCAUCUGAAUUUCUUAUUCUUGAAGGUUUCCUCAGUGAUGAGGUGGGGAGAAGAAUAGCAGCUAGGUCCGUGUGGGGCUGAAAUGUGUGAUGUGGAUACCCUGCUUGAGCGGGGAAGGGAGAAGCUAUCUCUGUCUCUUUGCGGCAGGUCCCCAGCCUUCCCUGCAGUCCACACCCUGCAGUGUCCGGGGAACAGUGGCCAACACUGUGGAGGUUCAGUGGCUCUCUGAAAGUAGUUCUAGGGCUGUUGGGCUACUCAAUAUUUCUAUUUCAUCACAAGUCAAUUUCUCAGGUUUUGUUUUCCAAGAAAAUCGCCUUUUUCAUGUAUGUUAGUGCAGAGUAUCUUUUUCUACUUUAAUAUUCUCCUCAGGAAUAGCUUUUUCAACUUUUUUAUGCCUAGUUUUUGUUAUUUUGUUUGUUUUUGGUCUGGAAUAGACUUUCAAGAACUCUAUUUUAUUGGCCUUUUUGAAAAAGCUGCUUAAGAUAAAACAAGCAGCUCUGCUUUUCUUUGGUAGUGUUGGCAGCUUGGUUUGUCAUGUCCAGGCUUGUGAGGCAGAGUGGCAGAGGGGAGUAAAGGCUGGUAGUGGAGUUUGUGGUACAGGCAGCCUUGCAUCAGCCCACCACACCCUCAGACCCAGGGUGGCAGUCAGGGCCCCUAACUAGAGUGUGAAGCAUCCUGAGGGGACUGCUGAAGCCACCCAGAAGCAUAUAAGGUGUCCUCUGGGUGGCAGGCCCUCGAAGGCAUGCAGAGCACCCAGCAAAGGAACAGCCAACUGUGGUUGCCUCAGACCAGUUUCAUCUUUAUUUUUUUUAAUAUUUAUUUUUUAGGUUUAAGUGGACACAAUGUCUUUAUUUUACAUUUAUGUGGUGCUGAGGAUCGAACCCAGUGCCUCAUGCAUGCUAGGCGAGCGCUCUACCACUGAGCCACAACCCCAGUCCCCAAUUUCAUCUUUAAAUGGUCACUCCAUCUGUGUCCUUCCUGGCUACACUGGGCUGGUGCCUGUUCUCAUGGUGCCUAGGCCUCAGAUAUUGAUCACACAAACCAGGAGUGAACAGCAGCCAGGACUUUGGCACAGGCCUAUCAUCCCAGCUACUUGGGAGACUGAGGCAGAAGGAUAAUCAAUUUGAGGCCAGCCUCAGCAACUUGUAAAAUUAAAAAGAAGCUAGAGGUAUAGCUCAGUGGUAGAGCACCCCUGGGUCAAUCCCCAGCCAAGAAUGAGAACAGAGCCCUCCCCAUGGGAGCCCUUGGACCCUUGCUGGAAGGAAGAGUAUUUCCGGCUGAGAGCAGAGCCUGAGCAAGCCGGUGAGCUGUGAGGGGCUCGCUGGAGCCAGAAGAGUACAAGGUGAGGUGGACCGGGGCUGGCCAUCCCUCAGCCUGUGGCCCCUAUGAGAUCCAGGUACACCCUCGGCUUCUCCUCUGUAUUUAGUAAGAUACUUUGUUGUUCUUGUGCCUGUGUUUGUGGUAUCAGUGCUGAUGUGAGCUUGGCCUUAUUAAGUGCAUACUUUAAAUCUCUAAGUGUUUGGUAAUUUGGGGUUUUUCACAUUAUAGUCCAUUUCUGCUUAAUGACUGGUUAUUGGAGGAAGCAGCCUGUAUAGUUUCUUCUGCUUUAAACAUGGCUCCUUUUCUUCAUUGCUCAAGAUACGAUAAGUUUUAUAAAUGUUCCAUGGCAGUUGAGAAGGUGUUCUCUGUCACAGUCUACUCUGGAUCAGUUUUUGGAUCAAAUUCCAUUUCCGCCAUCUGCUUGUGUAACGGAUGUGCGGCUGCGCCCUCCACCUCCUCUGGUCGCGCCUCUUCCCAAGGGGCUUUCUAGUUUGCUCCCUGUGUUCUGACACAGCAUUAUUGGUCCAUCAAGACUCCCAGCAACACAAAAGAUGCCCCCUGUGGAGUGCUUUCUGUUUGGAAGUCACCGCAUCUGGCGUUGGUGGUAUAAACUGGCACCUGCUCAUGCACACUCAUGUGCGCACAUGCAUAACACCCACGCGUGGACACACACAGGACUCAUUACAUUGGACUGAAUGUUAUUUUCAGGGGUUGUUUUCAACUUGAAUUUUGUAGCUGUAACCAACCUCUUUGGCUUUCUGUAUGUGUGUUUGUUUUACAGUCAUGAUUGAUAAGAUUUUUAAUCUUUUGGGGUUUGUUUUUGUUUUUCUUUUUCUUUUUUCUACCUCAGGUAGGAGGCAUAUGUUGGGGACCCAGUUACUCAUCCUGAAAUGGCCUACCUUUCUGAUUGAGGGCAUACCAGGGUGUGGACCUAUCACUGCCACCGUGGGGCAAUGAGGGCCAGCGCCAGCACUCUGUGAUUACAAAUGGUGCGGUCACAGAUCCCCUUGUAUAUCGCAAGCCUGCUCUUGGUUUGGGCUCUCCACUGGCCAGAGGAAAGGGGCAGCUGCUGGGCUCUUGCUGGCUUCCCUGGCCCCUCCGAUGGUCCUGAGGGGCUAGGUGUGGAGGUUGCUGUUUUUGCCUGGCCCCACCAGUGCCACUGUUCCCUUUGCCCAGGGACUGAGUGUGCAGUGGUUUCUGGGGCCAUUUCAUUCUGACCCCUCAGCCGUGGCCUGUCUCCCUGUGUAGAUCCCCUCGGGGUUCCUGCGGGACACACCUGAGGGCUGUCACUAACCUGUUGAACUAAUUCUUUGCUCAUCUUGCAGAGUAUGUUCUAACCCACAUUUCUGAGGCCUUGUAAGGCCAGAGCUUUUUGCUUCAUCAGGUUGGGACUGUCUGGCUGUGCUCGUUUCCUCUCUGCCACUUCGAUAAGUAAGUGCCUGUGUUUCGUGGUGUGUUUGGGAGGGAGGCUGUGAGGGAAGAUGGGGCAUGAGAAAUAGGGAAGGGAGGCUGGGCCUGCAGGUUCUCAGCACACCUGGCAGGCCCCAGACCUUGGCACCCGAGUGUGGGAGGGCGGGAGGGAGAGGUGGCCGACUGCCUGGAUUCCUGGGGAGGAGUCGAGGAGCCAGUUCUCGCCAGGCCUGACCAUUGUGUGCCCCAGGCAGGUUACAGCCUCACGAAGCCUCACUUCUCAUCUGGACCUGACUGAGACACAGCUUCUGAUUUCCUCAGGGUUCACGGGAGGGGAUCCUGUCUCCCAGUUGACAGGACUGCAGGGCUCACGGGGGUGCUCUGUGGACCCGCUGUGGGAGGCAGAACCUGCGCUGCGGCAGUGGGUGCCCAUGCCCUGGACUGCCAGGGUGGCCAAGGGUCCAGGGUUGGCUUUGUGUAACUCUUGGCUCUGGGGCUCUGGUGACUUGAACCCAUCCUCCCCAGAACUCAUACUCCAGGUCAGAGCCCAGUAAGAGGAGAGAGUUGGUGGGGACACUGUGCUUCCAACUUCACUUUCAAAUGAUGGCACUUCCGGGAAGGAAUCCGCAGCGGACGGUGGCCGAGAGCUCAGGAUGGAAGGCAGGUGGGCAUGUCUGUGUGACCUCAGGUGGCCAGGGCCCAGCAGACCUGGAGGACCAUAUGCAUUUGAUAGUGCUGGAAGUUUCCCUUAGCUCUUAGAUUUCCUGAUCUGGGGAUGAAAAGAUUUUUGCCUUUAAUUCUGAGCAAUCAAGCCACGAAGAAGGUGUGAAAUGAAAGUAAUAUCCCUCUCCCCUUGCCUACCUCAGUCCCGCCACAUGGGUGGCCUGAGUUUCUUAGGCUCUUUCUGGAAACAUCUGAGUACAUAUACAACCUUGUCAGUGCUGACGCCGUCCCAGAACAAGCAGGACCGUGAUCUGUGGUUCACUGCUGGUCUAACUUCAUGUGCUCCUCAGUUGGGAUAUGCAUGUGGCUUGAGGCUGGGGGACAAACGUGCCCUGGCUGCGCCACCCAAAGGGGUGUCAGGACAGGCAGCAGGUGGGCCUGGGCGGGAGGAGGCGCAGAGCCGCCGCAGGUGUUUCUUUUACUGGCCGCGGCUCAAGGCCGCGGUCAGGUUUUGCUUUUCACCUUUCAGUCUGUGAGAAAGUGAGCAGGAAAAAGCAAAAGGCGCUGGUGGUGGCACGCCCACGAGCUGGGCCGGGGUUCAAGUCCCCGCGGCGUCCCUGCUUCCUCCCGGCUCCAGCUCCAGGCCCUGCUGCCCUACCCACAGGGACAUGGGUUCCCAGGGGAGGCACAGGUAAGCACAGGGCUUCUUCAGGCCACCUGCUCCUUCUGUCCACCCUGGCCCUCCUGGGGCCUGGGCUGGGCUUUCAAGGGCUUUAGUGGCUGCAACCUCCUUGCCAGGGGCCCCAGCCUCUGGUGACCUCUAGUCAAUCUUCCUGUUCUAGGUCCUUCACCGAAAGCAGGAUCCACAGUAGUCACCCUUUCAUGUCUGGCUUUUCACUUAGCAUCGACUUCCCAAGCCUCACCCAUGGGGACGCGUGUCAGUCCUUAUGCCGUUGACCAUGUAGACCACAGACAGUUAAUCCACCAGCUAGAGAACCCUGGAAGUGCCUGCAGGUUUGGGUUUUGUUUUGUUUUGUUUUGUUUUUCAGUUGUAGAUGGACACAAUACCUUUAUUUUUAUUUAUUUAUUUUUAUGUGGGGCUGAGGAUCAAACCCAGUACCUCACACAUGCGAGGCAAGCGCUCUGCCACUAGCUACAACCCCCGCGCUGUUUCCACAGUUUAUCUAUUCUCAACAGGACAUCUAUGGGCAUUCAUUCACAAGCAUUGGUUCCAGUCCCUGUUUUCAGGUUGGAGUGGGGUUUCUGGGUCAUAUGGUAAUUGUAUGCUGCCCCCGUUUCUGCACCACCUGGCUCUUCCCACAGCAGAGUGAGGGGCUUCCUCAUGCUGGCCAAGGUUGCAAUUUCCCGUUGUUGUAUGUAAGUUGAUGUGUUAUCUCAGCUUUCAGAGUUUUUUACCUGAAUUUUUUUACCAUCAUUCAGAAGAUGGGGAUUCACUAUCUGGAGUGAGAUCUGAACCCAGUGAGAUCCAUAGCCUGUACUGCAAUCCUCCUCCCCACAGGACUACAGCUGCAGGCAGUGGUAGUCUGUGACAGCAGAGGGUGGAAGAGACGAAGGACAGCCCCCUCAGCACUUGGGUCUGCCUACUGCCUGGCAGAAGGUAGUUCUAGAACCUGUCCCCAGCUCAGAAGCACCCUGGGCCUAUCUAAGGGGACGCUAGAAUGCAGGCUGCUUGACCAAACUUUAGAAGCCAUUCUGUAGCAAACAGGAUGUCGCUUCCCUUGGCCAGCAUAGUCCCCAUCCCCUCAAUGGAGAACAGUGGAGAAGCCCUUCGUGUCCUGCUUGACCAGAGGGAAGGAGGCCCAGAGGGCCCUGCCUCAUCCCUCCAGAAGACAGGGAGAACAGCUGUGUCAUCCUUAAAGAAAAGAAAGACAGGAACAAAGGAACACCAUGUCCCUGAGCUGUGCCUUCGUUCCCAGGACCGUAGGCAACUCAGGGAAUGAUGACAGUGGCCCUAGGAGGAUGUCUACAUAAGUAUUAUCUUGAAGGACACUGCCUUUGAAUGCUAGCUUUAGAAAACUGCUCGCUGGCACGUAUGCCGGAAGCAGCUCUCCUCGGAAUGCUGGCCAUACAAGGAACAAAACACACAAGCCAGCUAGUGCUGAUGAGGUCAUCACUUCUGCAACUAGCCUGUAAAACUCCCUUCCUGUGGUAACUGCAGAGUUGAGGGCUCUGGAGAAGGUACAUCAGCCAGCUGCCAUUGGACAAGGUCCAAGAGGAUGGAGGCACUACUUUCUUGGAGUAGUGUUCUUAGGGAUGGAGGCACUGCUUAGCAAGACACCAUGAGGGACAGAGCCUCUCACCACUGAAUCUUCCCUGUAAACUGUUUGAAUAAAU